rnacentral:rRNA from 1 species
UACGAAGGGGGCUAGCGUUGCUCGGAAUCACUGGGCGUAAAGCGCACGUAGGCGGAUCGUUAAGUCGGGGGUGAAAUCCUGGAGCUCAACUCCAGAACUGCCCUCGAUACUGGCGAUCUUCGAGUCCGGGAGAGGUGAGUGGAACUGCGAGUGUAGAGGUGAAAUUCGUAGAUAUUCGCAAGAACACCAGUGGCGAAGGCGGCUCACUGGCCCGAUACUGACGCUGAGGCACGAAAGCGUGGGGAGCGAACAGG